GACGAACGCUGGCGGCGUGCUUAACACAUGCAAGUCGAACGGGCCUUGUCCCCUUUUUUUUUGGGGGUGGGGUUAGUGGCGUACGGGUGAGUAACACGUGAGUAACCUGCCCCUCACUUCUGGAUAACCGCUUGAAAGGGUGGCUAAUACGGGGUGUUCUGGCCUGCUCGCAUGGGUGGGUUUGGAAAGAUUCGACCGGUUUUGGUUGUUUUGGUGGGGGAUGGGCUCGCGGCCUAUCAGCUUGUUGGUGGGGUGAUGGCCUGCCAAGGCUUUGACGGGUAGCCGGCCUGAGAGGGUGGGCGGUCACACUGGGACUGAGACACGGCCCAGACUCCUACGGGAGGCAGCAGUGGGGAAUAUUGCACAAUGGGCGCAAGCCUGAUGCAGCGACGCCGCGUGAGGGAUGGAGGCCUUCGGGUUGUGAACCUCUUUCGCCAGUGAAGAAGGUCCUGCUCUUUGUGGUGGGGUUGACGGUAGCUGGGUUAAUGAAGCGCCGGCUAACUACGUG
rnacentral:rRNA from 1 species